UACGGGGGGGGCAAGCGUUGUUCGGAAUUACUGGGCGUAAAGGGCUGGUAGGCGGCCAACUAAGUCGGAUGUGAAAUCCCCAGGCUUAACCUGGGAACUGCAUCCGAUACUGGUCGGCUUGAAUCCGGGAGAGGGGUGCAGAAUUCCAGGUGUAGCGGUGAAAUGCGUAGAUAUCUGGAGGAAUACCGGUGGCGAAGGCGGCAUCCUGGACCGGCAUUGACGCUGAGGAGCGAAAGCUAGGGGAGCAAACGGG
rnacentral:rRNA from 1 species